rnacentral:lncRNA from 1 species
AUGUUUUUAAACCCCCGAAAUUUAACGCGGAGAGGGGGUCGGGCACCGGAGUUUGUUUAUUCCUACACACAACAGCCCUCCCCCGUCCGCUCCCAGCGCCGCUCCCGCUCCUCUGCGGUGGCGGCCGCCGCCGGGACAGCCCUUAUCAACGUGCCGCCGCUCGCGAGCCCCCGCCGGCCGCACGCGCCGCGCACGCCGCGCCACGCGCGCCCGCCGCCGCCGCGCCACCCCCUCCCGCCCUCCCCCGAGCGCGCCCCCGCCCCCCGCGCGCGCCCGGCGCGUGGCGCCGCCAGCCCCGGCAGCACUGCCCUCCCUCCCUCCGCCGGUUCUCUUCCCCCGUUCCGGUGCCCUGGGGUGCGCUCACACACACGGACACACACACGGACACGGACACGCUCACACACACAUGCACACGCACACGCUCACACGCACAUGCUCACACACACGGACACGCUCACACACACGGACACGCUCACACACACACACGCUCACACGCACACGCUCACACGCACACGCUCACACGCACACGCUCACACACACACACACGCUCACACACACACACAUGCACACACACACACGCUCACACGCACACGCUCACACACACACACGCUCACACACACAUGCACACACACACACGCUCACACACACACGCUCACACACACACACACGCUCACACACACACACACACGCUCACACACACAUGCACAAACACGCACACGCUCACGCUCACACACACGCUCAUACACACACACACACUUUGGAACGUUCUCCUUUUCUCGCCCCGUCUGUUUUUUUGCGUUUUCAGUAUUUUGUUGUAAUUUUCAUUAUUUACGGAGGGAGGGGCUCCCCUGUGGCCCCUCCUCCCCCCGCACACAGGUGCUCCCCGUGCCCCGGUGCGGUGCCAGCUCCGGGUCCCGACCCGUCCAAUGCGCCGUUUCCUCCCCAAACCAAACCGUGCACCCAGAGGGGCGGCAGCGCCGGGACAGGCGGGGAGCGGCCGCUGGAGCGGCGGAGCGGUGGAGUGAGCAGCCCUGCCGUCGGACACCGGUUGGUUUGCUUCGCAAAGCGAGGGGAUACACCGGGGCUCGGCUUUCAGAAACUGAAUACAAACGUACAGCAGUUGCAGGAGUCACCUCGCCAAGGCCGUUCUCUGCAAGACGACUUUUAAGGCUUAAACAAGAGUUUCAAGGAUAA